ACACACAACAGUCCAGCAGGUCAGCCACAACAUAUCAUUCUCUGCAUUAAACGUCCAAGGGAAAUGAAAUUUGUGAUGUUGGGAUAAUUAAUUCGUUAAAUAGGUUCAUUGACAUUGUGUCAAAAUGGCCUGGGUCAACACACAUGACACCUCUGUCUUUGACAGCUUUGGUUUGAACUUUGAAGACCUUUGCUGGAAGAAAACCUGGGAUACCUACUUGGCAACUCCGGCUUUUUGUUAAAAAAUAUGUGUAAACGCCCUUGCUUAGGCCAACAACAGAUGCAGUGGUGAGGUACAACCAUGCCCAGUCAAGUUGUUGGUUUGUGGUUGAGAAGGCUUUUGGACUGCUGAUAGUAGAUUAAGGUGUCUACAUAAAACUGGAGGAUGUUUAUUCAUGAGACUCGAUGAGUGCUGUCAAGCAGUGAAUGCAUGAAUGCGCCUACACAACUUAUGCAUAGAUCAGCAGGUACCACUGCCUGAACAACUUAUUGAGGCACAAGAAGUGGAUUAUGUUGUGCCUGGUGCCCCACAAUAGGAUAAAAUGCAGCACUUAUAGACAUGUGGACUUGUUUGUGUAGGUGUUGUGUCAUGCUCACUUAUGCAUGAAGUGCUAUAGGUCAGCCAUUGUGGUCUGUCUAUACCGGCUUCAUGCAUUAUCCACAUUUGAUGCUAUGUUGAUGAAAGUUGGUCAUAAAGUUUUUGUUAAUAAUAUCUAGGCUAUCCUCAAGUGUGGUCAAAAUCUUUGUGAGAGUGUUAAUAUUGACAAGUUCUAUGUCACUCUUUUUUGUUGAUUUUUAGCUCGACUAUUAUAUAUGAAAUAUAUAUAGUGGAGCUAUCCUACUCACCCCGGCGUCUGCAUUAGCAUUGGAAUGUUAAAGUUUGCGUACCACCUCAAAUAUUUCCUAUGUCCCUUGACAUAUUGCUUUUAUAUUUUACUUACUUCUUAACCAACAUGACCCCAACCUAUAAACAAGAGCAGACAACUGUAUCAAGCAUUUUGUAAGAAUUAUGGCCCUAUUUUCAUAUAGAAUAUGCAUAUUAUUGAUAAAUCUAUGCUAAGUUUGCGUACCACCUCAAAUAUUUUCAAUGUCCCUUGACAUAUUGCAUUCAUAUUUUGCAUACUUCUUAACCAACAUGACCCCAAUCUAUAAACAAGAGCAGACAACUGUAACAAGCAUUUUGUAAGAAUUAUGGCCCUCUUUCCACUUAGAAUAUGCAUAUUAUUGAUAAAUCUAUGUUAAAGUUUGCGUACCACCUCAAAUAUUUUCUAUGUCCCUUGACAUAUUGCUUUUGUAUGUUGCAUACUUCUUUACCAACAUGACCCCAAUCUGUUAACAAGAGCAGACAACUGUAUCAAGCAUUUUGUAAGAAUUAUGUUCCCUUUUUAUACUUAGAAAAUUAAAAAAUUUGUGAAGUUUUGUGUUUAGGUUCACUUAAUUCCUAAAGUCUUUAUUCCUAAAGUAUCAAAGCUAUUGCUUUUAUACUUGCAACAAUUACUAACUAUCAUAAGGGGACUGUGCAGGCAAAGUUAUUUGACUGACUGGCAUUUUGACAGAUUUAUGGCCCCUUUUAUACUUAUAUAAUUUAACAUUUGGUUAAGUUUUGUGUUUUGGUCCAUUUUACCUGUAAAGUAUCAUAGCUAUUGCUUUCAGACUUGGAAAAUUUACCUUUACACUUACCUGACAUACCACUAUGGGCUCCACCAAACCAUCUCCCUACAUUAUACCCCCCCACCCCCCAACCCAAAAAGUUUUUUUUCUUUGAAACAUGGUAAAAAAACAAACACAUAUUUAUUUAUUUAAUUUUUGAAGGACGGCCAAACCAUCCCACCCAAGCUUUUGCUAUCAAACUUGAAAUAAAAUCUUAUUUCUUUGGUUUAUGUCUUUACAAAUGUUCAAUAGAUUGUGGAAAAUAUACCUGAACUCAGAAUCGUCUAUAUUAAAAGUACAACUUCUUUAAAACAUUAGCGAUCAAUAUGUUUUAAUUAUGUUCCUUUUCCACUUAGAAUGUGACUGUAUUACCUUGACCUUAUUGAAUAUGAAUAAUUUCCCCAUAAUGGCUUACAUUAUACUGUCAAGCACUCGAAUAGUCGAGCACGCUGUCCUCUGACAGCUCUUGUUUUUAUUAACAACACAAUUUUUACAUUCAGUCAUGCCUUGCUUAUGAUGAUUACAUGUUUCCUUUAUAUUGUAACAAAGUGAAAAUAUUUUUUUAUUUUUUUUGUAACAUUACAAAACAUGUACAUUAUUUGUCCAACAACUCUACAGCAAACGACCAAUGAAGUGGAACACUAUCUGAAAAUGAAAUACAUUUUAUGUUAAAAAAGGUUUGUAAUGCAAAGUGCAGCUAAAUAAUAGUAACAUUCUAACAAUAAGAGAUUUAUAUACACUAAUUUUUAGCGAGGCUGUUUUCGGAGAAAACCUGAGCUAUUGUCAUAGCCAGCUUGUCCGCUGUCUGCCAAAGGUGUUGUGCUAAAACCUUAACAUUGGCUCUAAAAUCAAAGUGCUUCCACCUACAACUUUGAAACUUUAUAUGUAGAUGCACCUUGAUGAGUUCUACACGCCACACCCAUUUUUGGGUCACUAGGUCAAAGGUCACUGUGACCUCAAAUAUCAAACUUUAACAUAGGCUCUAAAAUCAAAGUGCUUCCACUUACAACUUUGAAACUUCAUAUGUAGUUGCACCUUGAUGAGUUCUACAUGCCACACCCAUUUUUGGGUCACUAGAUCAAAGGUCAAGGUCACCGGGACCUCUAAUAUAAAAUUUUAACAAAAACCUUAAUAUUGCAUCUAAAAUCAAAGUGCUUCCACCUACAACGUUGAAACUUCAUAUGUAGAUUUACCUUGAUUAGUUCUACAUGCCACACCCAUUUAGGGUCACUAGGUCAAAGGUCAAGGUCACUGUGUCCUCUAAAAAAAAAAUAAAAAAAAUCUGACAAGCUUUCGCAGCCGAGCGUGGCAUCUGUUAUGCGGUGCUCUUGUUUAUUUUUUAUGCCCCCUUCAAAGAAGAGGGGGUAUAUUGUUUUGCACAUGUCCGUCCGUAUGUCCAUCCACCAGAUGGUUUCCGGAUGAUAAGUCAAGAACGCUUAGGCCUAGGAUCAUGAAACUUCAUAGGUACAUUGAUCAUGACUCGCAGAUGACCCCUAUUGAUUUUGAGGUCACUAGGUCAAAGGUCAAGGUGACCGGAAAUUGUAAAACGGUUUCUGGAUGAUAACUCAAGAGCACUUAUGCCUAGGAUCAUGAAACUUGAUAGGUACAUUGAUCAUGACUAGUAGAUGACCCCUAUUGACUUUCAGGUCACUAGGUCAAAGGUCACGGUGACUUGACACAGUAAAAUGGUUUCCGGAUGAUAACUGAAGAAAGCUUACGCCUAGGAUCAUGAAACUUCAUAGGUACAUUGAUCAUGACUUGCAGAUGACCCUAUUGAUUUUCAGGUCACUAGGUCAAAGAUCAAGGUCACAGUGCCAAAAAACGUAUUCACACAAUGGCUGCCACUACAACUGACAGCCCAUAUGGGGGCAUGCAUGUUUUACAAACAGCCCUUGUUUUUAACAUGUUUAACAUACAUUUGUGUAAAUAUAAAAGGGAUACAAAUUAGCAUUAGACCACAAGCCCUUGGCCAGUAAAAUGUAUUCUGAGGUCAUUAUUUCUAAUAUGUUGUAAAAUUUAUGUUAAAUAAUUUAUUUUUGCAUAAAAUCUAUUUUUAUACAAUAUUACAAAUUCAUGAUCAAGCAACUUAAUUAGUUAAUCUAUAUUUUUUAUGGAACUUACAUCUUUUUUGUCUUCACUGGCUUUUCUGAAAAAAGAAAAGAAUAUCCAGUUGAUUUGUACAAUUGGUAUUAUGAAAUUUGAUGAACAUUUUUAACCCAUUUAUGCCUAGUGGACUUUCCCAUCCUUCUAAAUUGGAUCAAUUUAUUUCCACAAUUAGGGGUGUCUAGUACAUCGUUUAGAAUAUUUCUUACAUAAAUUCUUUUAAGCAAACAGCGCAGACCCUGAUGAGACGCCUCAUAUGGGUCUACGCUGUUUGCCAAGGCCUUUUUUCUAGACGCUAGGCAAAAAUGGGUUUAAUAACAUAUAUUAAUUAAUACAUCACCAUAAUAACUUUAUGUAUGUAAGUGUACACAUUUUUAUGUCCCCCACUAUAGUAGUGGGGGACAUAUUGUUUUUACCCUGUCUGUUGGUUGGUCUGUUGGUUGGUUGGUUUGCGCCAACUUUAACAUUUUGCAAUAACUUUUGCUAUAUUGAAAAUAGCAACUUGAUAUUUGGCGUGCAUGUGUAUCUCAUGGAGCUGCAAAUUUUGAGUGGUGAAAGGUCACGGUCAUCCUUCAAGGUCAGAGGUCAAAUAUAUGUGGCCAAAAUCGCUCAUUUUAUGAAUACUUUUGCAAUAUUGAAGAUACCAACUUGAUAUUUGGCAUGCAUGUGUAUCUCAUGGAGCUGCACAUUUUGAGUGGUGAAAGGUCAAGGUCAUCCUUCUUGGUCAAAUAUAUGGGUAAAAAUUGCUCAUAUAAUUAACUUCUGCAAUAUUGAAGCUAGCAAUUUUAUAUUUGACAUGCAUGUGUAUCUCAUGGAGCUGCACAUUUUGAGUGGUGAAGGGUCAAGGUCAUCCUUCAAGGUCAAACGUCAUAUAGGGGGACAUUGUGUUUCACAAACGCAUCUUGUUUUAUUUUGUGAAGUUACUUGUAUCUAAUGAUUAAUAUGCAUUUAAUACUAAAUAUGGAAAUCAAUCUUUAUGAGCUGUCAAACAUGCAUACAUGUUACUUCAAUGACAAGACAUUUUGAUAGAAUGCAUUUAUUAAAACUGAAAUGUAUGAUAUGUCACCAAUUAACUUUAUAAAUAACGAACUUUAUGUCACAUAAUUUAUUUAUGAUUAUGAUACACAUUGCAGGGCCGUACCCAGGAUUUGUUGACUGGGGGGCCCAACCGGGGAGGGUUCCCCCCUCCCUAUAUAUAUACUUUUUUUAAUUUGGCACUUUGCAAGGUGAAUUUUAAUGCUUAUAAAAAUGGUGUUUUGUGAUAUGAAUUAAUGGAAUAUAACAAGAAAUCAGCACAUUUUGUAAGUCUUAAGCUUUAAACAUUGGUGUGAAUUCACAACAAUAUUAAAAGCUUUAGAUUUCCGAAACUAACAGGUUUAAACUGACGAUUAUCCACAUCAACUCUCGUAUUGCUUCCACCAUUCUUUUUUCACAAAUCAAUAACGUCAUAGGUUUUUUUCACUGAUUUUUUGGGAAAGACCUUGCCUUUUUAAGGAAAAAUUUUCGCGAAACGCCUAAUUUUUUGGGGAAAUAAUGAAAGUCUUAAAUAAUCAAUUUAACAUAUUUUACUGUUUUGAAACAAAUUCAAGGCAACAGAUAAUUUAAUUAUACAAUAUUUUACUACACUGGAUCAUGUUAACUUAUAUAACGAGAUCGAUUUGUUGUUUCAAUUUUACUUUUUUUUACCAAUGAGCCAUUAAUAGGUUGACAUUACUCAAUUCUCGGUACUCAAUUAUCAAUGCGGGGAACACGUGGUCAGAUUUGAUAAAAAAUGGCCGCCGAUGCCUCGAUUCGAUGGAGAAACUGAGUCUUCAAACAGGUACAUCUACCUUAUUACUUACUUGUUUUUAAUCGGAUAACGCCUAUCAUAUGGCCAGCCGGAACCGUUUUCUGCUGGUUGGUCUGAGUGUGGAAAUAACUCAUGGAAUAUUUCGCGAUUUCCUGACGGAAAACGUUUGAAGACUCAAUUUCUCUAUCGAAUCGAGGCAUCGGCGGUCAUUUUUUAUCAAAUCUGACCACGUGAUUCCCCGCAUUGAAUUAUUUUGGUUAAAUUAUUUUAAAUACUGAAUUCUGCCAAAUUCGUAUCUGUUGCUCGGCAAAUUUAUGAAUCUGUUUUUCUUUUCAACAGAUAUGUUAACUAUCUCAUCGUAGUCUUUUUCCGUGAUUUCCUUGCAAAAAUGAUAAAUACUCAGUUUUAAUACCUUUGUCAGUGUUUUUGUUCCGGUUCAAAUUCAGGGCCCUAUCUCAAUGUAAAAAGUAUAUAUUGGGACCUAAAUAUUCCCAAAUAAAGGGUUUCCAAAAAAAACAAGUUAACUUUUAUAGGGGAAAAAUACGUCUAGGGAAAAGGGCCUUCUCAAAGAAGGAAAAAAAACUGCGUCAGCAAUUAUCGGACUAUAUUCUACAACCUCCUGUAGCAGUUGCCUCCAUUUGCUGCACUAAUCUAAAUACAUGAUACAUCAACCAUCGAUAGAUGAAGCAUUCAUGAUCACAAUGGGGGACUGAUCGGGGAUGUGUGUACAAGGCGAUAAGAAAACAUUGCCUAUGGGCUUAUCUCGAUUGGCGAGCGCUAAUCCCCUUGUUUAUCAGGGACAAUAAAACAUAGAUGCUCUUUUGUUUUGAGGGAAAGUGUACUGUGGGCCCUUGCACAAGAGAAAAAAAUGCAGUGGGCCGAUCAUUUAAAAAAAUCAUAGUUCGACAGCCAGCUGGGGGGGCCUGGGCCCAUGGCCUGGGUACGGGCCUGCAUUGUUUUAUGUUUUUUGUAACAUUGACACACCUACAAAAAUAAAUGUGCUAACUUAA